rnacentral:rRNA from 1 species
UACGUAGGGCGCGAGCGUUGUCCGGAAUUAUUGGGCGUAAAGAGCUCGUAGGCGGCUUGUUGCGUCUGCUGUGAAAUCCCGGGGCUUAACCCCGGGCGUGCAGUGGAUACGGGCAGGCUGGAGGCAGGCAGGGGAGAAUGGAAUUCCCGGUGUAGCGGUGAAAUGCGCAGAUAUCGGGAGGAACACCGGUGGCGAAGGCGGUUCUCUGGGCCUGUUCUGGACGCUGAGGAGCGAAAGCAUGGGGGAGCGAACAGG